AGUCAAUAGAUACCCGGGUAGUCCACGCCGUAAACGAUGUCGACUUGGAGGUUGUGCCCUUGAGGCGUGGCUUCCGGAGCUAAACGCGUUAAGUCGACCGCCUGGGGAGUACGGCCGCAAGGUUAAAACUCAAAUGAAUUGACGGGGGCCCGCACAAGCGGUGGAGCAUGUGGUUUAAUUCGAUGCAACGCGAAGAACCUUACCUACUCUUGACAUCCAGAGAACUUAGCAGAGAUGCUUUGGUGCCUUCGGGAACUCUGAGACAGGUGCUGCAUGGCUGUCGCCAGCUCGUGUUGUGAAAUGUUGGGUUAAGUCCCGCAACGAGCGCAACCCUUAUCCUUUGUUGCCAGCGGUUAGGCCGGGAACUCAAAGGAGACUGCCAGUGAUAAACUGGAGGAAGGUGGGGAUGACGUCAAGUCAUCAUGGCCCUUACGAGUAGGGCUACACACGUGCUACAAUGGCGCAUACAAAGAGAAGCGACCUCGCGAGAGCAAGCGGACCUCAUAAAGUGCGUCGUAGUCCGGAUUGGAGU
rnacentral:rRNA from 1 species